rnacentral:lncRNA from 1 species
GCUGACAUGAAGUAGAACAGAGAUGAGCUGAGCUUUGCCCCACCUGCAGAUGUAACUUCCCACAUACACCCCUUUUGGCUGAGCUGUAUGGCCAUAAGCGUAGAGACUUGCAGCUGUAUGUGGCCGUGAAUGAGAGACCCAGAGAUGGAAGCUUCACAGCAUUUGUGGCAGUAGCGGCAGAAAUGCAUCACACAUUUGAGUCCCUAGAUGGCCUUGUGGAGAAACGUCUACCUGCCACCCUGGACUAUUAGAAAUAUUCUUCAAACAAAACCUUAUGAGGAACAGAACCAUAGCUCCUGAAACUGUGUGAAAGCAAGAGAAAGAGAGUCUUUUGUCAAUAGUCUGUCCACACAUAUCCAGACCCAACCCAAAGUUACAACCUGACCUCCACGAUCACUUUCCCUCACAGGGACCGCACUAUGAGGAACACGCCAAAGUUGAGAAAGGCCUAAGAUCACCUGUGCCCUAGAGAGUUGUACCUACUUCGCCUGGUGACUGUGGACCAGCUCUGCAGGAAGCAAUUUACCAAAUGUCUCUGCGAUCCAGUGGUCAGCAAUUACACCUUCUUCAGUGUGGUCAUAGCCUCUUUCCAAAUUUGUCCUUCCUUAACUACUCUCCCUGUUUUCAUGUUUAUAGUUGUUCUCUUAUCAUUGUUUAAUAAUUUUUAUGUUAAAUUUCCCAUGUUUAAAUUACUAAGUCGAUAUUGUCUCUUGAUUGUACCCAGGCCAAUAAAUGGUACUAUAAAUAUUGUGUUUAUAUUUCAAUAUACAUUGUUUUAAGGUGACUCCCAUGGAGUUUAUAAGCAAGAUAAUGCUUGAGCAAAAUCUAGUACAUUGCAAUAACCUAGGUGACCACAUCAUUUCUCGUGCAAUAAUCAUUUUUAUGUCUCAUAAGAUAUAUGAAUAUAUUAUAAAUUAGAAACAGGAAUAAUUAAACAGAAAACAAUAGCAUAUGACAUGGCAAAGGCAAUAAAAUAAAUAUAUAGGCAAUAUAGGAGCAACUAUGAAAGACUAGGACUUGCAAUAUCAUAUAAAGGAAUUUAAGAACCGAAAUUGAGUAGUCAUUCUUGUUAACAGUGUAUUCAUUUUGUUUUCAUAAUCUUAUUAUCAUGCUGUAACUGUGCUAUAAAAGAGAUAUUGACAAAGACAUGCUUCAGUUAAGGCAGUUUACAUAUGAGCAAAAAAUUUUGGAAACAUUGGAAUUGUUAGUAUAA